AUUGAACGCUGGCGGCAGGCCUAACACAUGCAAGUCGAACGAAUGGCGGACGGGUGAGUAAUGUCUUGGAAACUGCCUGAUUGAGGGGGAUAACUACUGGAAAAGGUAGCUAAUACCGCAUACCAUCGGAUGUGCCCAGAUAGGAUUAGCUAGUUGGUGGGGUAAAGGCUCACCUAGGCGACGAUCCCUAGCUGGUCUGAGAGGAUGACCAGCCACACUGGGACUGAGACACGGUCCAGACUCCUACGUGAGGCAGCAGUGGGGAAUUUUGCACAAUGGGCGCAAGCCUGAUGCAGCCAUGCCGCGUGUGUGAAGAAGGCCUUCGGAUUGUAAAGCACUUUAGGUAGGGAGGCGUUACCUACAGAAUAAGCACCGGCUAACUACGUGCCAGCAGCCGCGGUAAUAC
rnacentral:rRNA from 1 species